AUAAUAGAUGCAAUCAUGAAUCAACAAAUGUGAGUCACUUUCAAACAUCUCUGUUUGAAGGAAGCAACAUUAGAAAAUGAACUAACAACUCUAAGGUAUUUGCAUGUUGGUUUAUUGAAGAGUCUCAAACAAGGAGAACCUAUGACUGUUAAAUAUUUCUUGCUGGCGUAUAGAUUAUAUUUGAAGAGAUGUAAGAAAUUUUAUAAAAUAAAGAAAUGAUUGAAAGUUCAACUCUCUCUUCGCAAAGCAUCAUUGUAAAAAGAAAUGCACUUAUUCCACUUUUCCCUUGUUAAUUCGAAGUGUAAUAACGGAUAAUUUGAAGGAAAUCUUACAUCCUGUACCAUCUAAUCGACAUUGCGCGAUCAAGCCGUUUUCAAUGAGCCGACGUUGCAUACGUUGAUCGCCGUCCAAUUAUCCCGCCAGAAGCUGUUUAAUCGAUUCGAUAAUAAUUUAACAAGCCUACCAAGCGAAUAUCCUCUUUUUGUCAUGCAUACCAUUGGUUACACAUGGAGGAGUUUGUUUGAAAUUUGAAGGUUCACUAAUUAGAAAUCAGAUGCAUGAAAAAUUGGAAACUUGAAGGUUAGGAAAUUCAGCAUUAAAGGUUUGAAAAAUUAUAAAUUUUAAAACUAGAAAUUUGUAGAGAUAAUUGGAAAAUAGAAAAAAUGGAAUACGGAAAAAAUUGAGAGCACGUGAGUUCACAUUAAACGAUUGAAUAUAUGACAUUCGAAUUUUUUCUUUUUUCCCGCGCGAACGACGGAAUGCGGACCGCGUCCUAAACCAAGGAUACAUCUCGGAAUCGCGUUGAUUCCAGUUUCCGCUUCGUCGCUCAGAUUCGCUCCGUGAAUCCUAGGAAGCUUGCCUCUCUAACGGACCAUUGAAUUUCAGCAAAAUUGUGCACGCUCCGUGGCGAGGAAACUUCGCGAUCGAUGGUGGAGCAACCGUUAGAUUCUAGAGAUACCAAGGUUCCACGGUUCUCUCGCUCGACUAUCGCGAUCCAUUUCUCGGUACUUUUCCAAAAAUAUACGCGUUCACAUUAUGUAAAUCUCAAGUAGCCAUAACUUCGUCGUCAUCUUGAAACUACUUCAACCCAUAAUGGCCGAAGAGGUUUUUUGGAGACCCUUAAUACUGAAGAGGUUACGAAGCUCUCUCGUGGUGAAACGUAACGGUGAAAAGUGAAACGGAAAGCUAGGUCGGUAUAAUUUGUUCAGUUCAAUUACAUAGAAGGCAGUUCGAAUUGAUAAUAGAAUCGUUUCACCUGGCUAGACUCGAGUGAAAUUCCUGGCAAAACUAUUGACCAAAAUGGCUGUCUCUUUUUUAUGUUCCUGUUCGAUGGUCGACAAGAAAAUUACGACUAACGGCACCUCAAGAAAAUCAACAAUAAAAAAUGCUCAUCGAGGCUUCUCCAAUUGAUAGCAGGCUCCUCGGGUAUUGCACGGAUCUCGCUGGUUCUUUUGCAUUCCCAAGUUUUAUCUUUGAAAUUUAUGGCCAAGAACGGGCAUUGAAUAAUGAUUUCACGCUAGCGGG